rnacentral:rRNA from 2 species
CUGGUGUCAGCCGCCGCGGUAAUACCAGCACCUCGAGUGGUCAGGACGUUUAUUGGGCCUAAAGCAUCCGUAGCCGGCUCUGCAAGUCUUCGGUUAAAUCCACCUGCUCAACAGAUGGGCUGCUGGAGAUACUACAGAGCUAGGGAGUGGGAGAGGCAGACGGUAUUCAGUGGGUAGGGGUAAAAUCCUCUGAUCCAUUGAGGACCACCAGUGGCGAAGGCGGUCUGCCAGAACACGUUCAACGGUGAGGGAUGAAAGCUGGGGGAGCAAACCGGAUUAGAUACCCGGGUAGUCCCAGCUGUAAACGAUGCAAACUCGGUGAUGCAUUGGCUUAUGGCCAAUGCAGUGCCGCAGGGAAGCCGUUAAGUUUGCCGCCUGGGAAGUACGGACGCAAGUCUGAAACUUAAAG